rnacentral:rRNA from 1 species
CCUACGGGAGGCAGCAGUGAGGAAUAUUGGACAAUGGGCGCAAGCCUGAUCCAGCCAUGCCGCGUGCAGGAUGACGGUCCUAUGGAUUGUAAACUGCUUUUAUACGAGAAGAAACACCCCUACGUGUAGGGACUUGACGGUAUCGUAAGAAUAAGGAUCGGCUAACUCCGUGCCAGCAGCCGCGGUAAUACGGAGGAUCCAAGCGUUAUCCGGAAUCAUUGGGUUUAAAGGGUCCGUAGGCGGUUUAGUAAGUCAGUGGUGAAAUCUCCCCGCUCAACGGGGAAACGGCCAUUGAUACUGCUAGACUUGAAUUAUUAGGAAGUAACUAGAAUAUGUAGUGUAGCGGUGAAAUGCUUAGAGAUUACAUGGAAUACCAAUUGCGAAGGCAGGUUACUACUAAUGGAUUGACGCUGAUGGACGAAAGCGUGGGUAGCGAACAGGAUUAGAUACCCUGGUAGUCCACGCCGUAAACGAUGGAUACUAGCUGUUGGGUGCAAACUCAGUGGCUAAGCGAAAGUGAUAAGUAUCCACCUGGGGAUACGUUCGCAAGAAUGAAACUCAAAGAUAGUAGACGNGAGAGAGCGACGACGACGACGACGGAGGAGGAGG